rnacentral:rRNA from 1 species
GAUGAACGCUGGCGGCGUGCCUAAUACAUGCAAGUCGAGCGAACAGACGAGGAGCUUGCUCCUCUGACGUUAGCGGCGGACGGGUGAGUAACACGUGGAUAACCUACCUAUAAGACUGGGAUCACUUCGGGAAACCGGAGCUAAUACCGGAUAAUAUCUUGAACCGCAUGGUUCAAUAGUGAAAGACGGUUUUGCUGUCACUUCUAGAUGGAUCCGCGCCGCAUUAGCUAGUUGGUAAGGUAACGGCUUACGAAGGCAACGAUGCGUAGCCGACCUGAGAGGGGGAUCGGCCACACGGGAACUGAGACACGGUCCAGGCUCCUACGGGAGGCAGCAGUAGGCAAUCUGCCGCAAUGGGCGAAAGCAUGACGGAGCAACGCCGCGUGAGUGAUGAAGGUCUUCGGAUCGUAAAACUCUGUUAUUAGGGAAGAACAAAUGUGUAAGUAACUAUGCACGUCUUGACGGUACCUAAUCAGAAAGCCACGGCUAACUACGUG